UUUAAUUUUUUCUUAGCAGGGAUGGGGCCUUACUUUGUUACCCAGGCUGGUCUUGAACUCCUGGGCUCAAGUGAUCCUCCUGCCUCAGCCUCCCAAAGGACUGGGGUUACUGGUAUGAGCCACUCCUUCCAGCCUACAUGUUGGUUUCUUAAACACAAAAGUUAGUUGAAGGCUACAAGAUAAAUGAGCUUUUUACUAACUAAAGAAUCAAUAAUUUCU
rnacentral:lncRNA from 10 species